rnacentral:rRNA from 1 species
UGAGGAAUCUUGCGCAAUGGGGGCAACCCUGACGCAGCAAUGUUGCGUGAGUGAGGAAGGUUUUCGGGUCGUAAAGCUCUGUCGGAUGGAAAGAAACGGAUGCGGGUUAAUAGCCUUCAUCCCUGACGGUACCAUCAGAGGAAGCACCGGCUAACUCCGUGCCAGCAGCCGCGGUAAUACGGGGGGUGCAAGCGUUGUUCGGAAUCAUUGGGCGUAAAGCGCGUGUAGGCGGCUUGGUAAGUCAGGUGUGAAAGCCCUGGGCUCAACCCAGGAAGUGCACUUGAAACUGCCUUGCUUGAGUACGGGAGAGGAAAGCGGAAUUCCUGGUGUAGAGGUGAAAUUCGUAGAUAUCAGGAGGAACACCGGUGGCGAAGGCGGCUUUCUGGCCCAAUACUGACGCUGAGACGCGAAAGCGUGGGGAGCAAACAG